rnacentral:tRNA from 1 species
GAGGGUCUGGCUCAGUGGUAGAGCACAUGCUUAGCAUGCACGAGGUCCUGGGUUCAUUCCCUGGUACCUCC